CAGAGUGUCAUUGAUCAGGGAGAUGCAGUGCCAGUGUGGUUGAUCAUAGACGUCUAAGUGCUGAAAGUCUUCCCUGCUUCUGGUGUGUCUGCAGCCUCCGAGGGGGGAGCUGAAGCUCAUCCUGCAGAGGAAGAUGCUCCGACUCCUGCCGAAGCCCCCGUCAUCAUGCUGGGGCCCCUGGAACACAAGAGCUGCGUGGACGAGCUGUCUGAUGGAGUCCAGUCCAUGGACGUCAGCCCUGUGUCCAGGGACGAGCAGGCGAGCGCUCAGGAGUUUUCACCCGUCACCGAGGGAACGGACGGCUGCCCCCUGGAGCACCUGAUGGAUGUCGACGCCCCGGGACGAGGACAGCGUCCGGGCGCAGAAACGCCCCCCUACACUAAACUACAGGCCGGGGUCGGAGACCUGAACAAGAACCUGCUGAUUCAAGCGUACAGCGCCGCCCCUGAAUCCUCCCAGCUCAUCCACAGCAUCGGGCCGAGCAAGCUGGACGUCCAGUAGCUAGGACCUUUUUCUGGAGCUGGCAGGUGAAAAGGAGCCAGGAGAAGCAGGCCGAGGGACCAUAACCUCCGUCUGCAGCAACAGCAAUCAUCACAUCCACAACCAACAGCAGCUCAGCACCUGAUUUCUGUAUUAUCAGUCCAGUCACACACAGCUGUUAAGCUUGGACCACAUGUUGAGGCAGUGCAGACGGGCAGUUCUGACCCCACAGAGUGAAAGACACACACAACGUUAAAAUGAUGUGAAUAUGUAGCGACGAAAAAGAAAAAGGAAAAACAUCCGUGCAGGUUUAUUAUUGCUUGGGGACAGGAAGGGUUAAGAUUUAAAUGAGAUGCACCCCCCCCCCUCCACAUUUGGUCCUGUUGAAUGUCAGUCCUGCCCAUCUGCAUCACCACUAAACUGAACUAUCAUCUGCUUCACUCUGCUUUUAUGAACUGUAAAUAGGCCGGACUGGGCGGUGGAUCUGUCCCUGUUUGGAGGAGGAGGAGGAGCUGGAACACUGACACUGCUGUUGUGUGAAUCCCGUGUAGCAUCUUCAGUGAGGAUUAGCUAGUCGAGCUGUUUACUGGCUGUGCUUGUAGCUGUGUGUGGGAGUCCCUCUCUCUCCCUCUGUCAGUGUUUCUGAUGUUGACUUCUCUACUCCUGACGUCGACUCCUUCUUGUGUAAAACCCGGCCUGCUGUAGAUUUCCUGCCACCCUGACGCUGGAGAAACCAUCAACGACUGAUAUUAGGAGCCUGCAACACGUAGCCGAUAGCUUUGGUUUCUCUGCUGCUCCCGACUCCACUGAUGGACAUUUGUGGACGGGCAACAAUGAGGCCAAAGGGAGGGGAAAACAUAACCUGUCCUGUGUUUUUAAAGCGGGGACAUAUUGACAGUGUGUUGUGUGUUUGUCUGGCACCGACUGUAACCAUGCAAGCUGCAGUUUAUAGUGUGCACUUACCGUAGUUGUGUGUUUCACUGCUCUGAAGCUCAUCCCUCCCUGACUAAAAUAUACCUCACCGAUUGAAAACAGCUUUCACCACCUCACAGCUCAUCACCUCUGAGGCCUUAAACCUCUGUGCAGUCUGCACCCAGCUCCCCCCUGCUCCACCCUCCGCCUCUCAUCACUGAAAGGAAGCAGAGAAACCAGAACGUCUCCGUCAUGUGUUUUACAUUUGCUUUUUUUUAUCUGAUGAAACAAGCGAGGAGGAUGUGAGGUUAAUUAGUCAGUUAUGGGAAAGCUGAACCACCUUUAGCUCCAGAAAACACCAGUAACAUAUAAGUAUGAUCAAGAGAACAGAACUUUGGGAUGUAAUAAUCUCAAAGCUCCACCCUUAAACUUAACUCAUGUCAAAUUACUUUUUAUUUCAUUGUUUAAUAAACAUUUUGCACAUUUUCUCUUUCUACA
ensembl:lncRNA